GAUGAAGAACGCAGCGAAAUGCGAUAAGUAAUGUGAAUUGCAGAAUUCAGUGAAUCAUCGAAUCUUUGAACGCACCUUGCGCCCUUUGGCCAUUCCGAAGGGCAUGCCUGUUUGAGUAUCAUGAACACCUCAACUCUUUAUGGUUUUCCAUGAUGAGCUUGGACUCUGGGGGUUUUGCUGGCUCACAGUCGGCUCCUCUAACAUGAAUCAGCUUACCAGUGUUUGGUGGGUAUCAUGGGUGUGAUAACUAUCUACGCUUGUGGUUUUUCCACCAGGUAACCUUCAGCAGUGGAGGUUCGCUGGAGCUCAUAGAUGUCUCUCCUCAGUGAGGACAGCCCUUUGAAUGUUUGAUCUCAAAUCAGGUAGGACUACCCGCUGAACUUAAGCAUAUCAAUAAGCGGAGGA
rnacentral:misc_RNA from 1 species